GGUUAAGCGACUAAGCGUACACGGUGGAUGCCCUGGCAGUCAGAGGCGAUGAAGGACGUGCUAAUCUGCGAAAAGCGUCGGUAAGGUGAUAUGAACCGUUAUAGCCGGCGAUGUCCGAAUGGGGAAACCCAGUGUGAUUCGUCACACUAUCGUUAACUGAAUACAUAGGUUAACGAGGCGAACCGGGGGAACUGAAACAUCUAAGUACCCCGAGGAAAAGAAAUCAACCGAGAUUCCCCCAGUAGCGGCGAGCGAACGGGGAGCAGCCCAGAGUCUGAAUCAGCUUGUGUGUUAGUGGAACGGUCUGGAAAGUCCGACGGUACAGGGUGAUAGUCCCGUACACCAAAAUGCACAGGUUGUGAACUCGAAGAGUAGGGCGGGACACGUGGUAUCCUGUCUGAAUAUGGGGGGACCAUCCUCCAAGGCUAAAUACUCCUGACUGACCGAUAGUGAACCAGUACCGUGAGGGAAAGGCGAAAAGAACCCCGGCGAGGGGAGUGAAAAAGAACCUGAAACCGUGUACGUACAAGCAGUGGGAGCACCUUCGGGUGUGACUGCGUACCUUUUGUAUAAUGGGUCAGCGACUUAUAUUCUGUAGCAAGGUUAACCGUAUAGGGGAGCCGCAGGGAAACCGAGUCUUAACUGGGCGUUAAGUUGCAGGGUAUAGACCCGAAACCCGGUGAUCUAGCCAUGGGCAGGUUGAAGGUUGGGUAACACUAACUGGAGGACCGAACCGACUAAUGUUGAAAAAUUAGCGGAUGACUUGUGGCUGGGGGUGAAAGGCCAAUCAAACCGGGAGAUAGCUGGUUCUCCCCGAAAGCUAUUUAGGUAGCGCCUCGUGAACUCAUCUUCGGGGGUAGAGCACUGUUUCGGCUAGGGGGUCAUCCCGACUUACCAACCCGAUGCAAACUACGAAUACCGAAGAAUGUUAUCACGGGAGACACACGGCGGGUGCUAACGUCCGUCGUGAAGAGGGAAACAACCCAGACCGCCAGCUAAGGUCCCAAAGUCAUGGUUAAGUGGGAAACGAUGUGGGAAGGCACAGACAGCCAGGAUGUUGGCUUAGAAGCAGCCAUCAUUUAAAGAAAGCGUAAUAGCUCACUGGUCGAGUCGGCCUGCGCGGAAGAUGUAACGGGGCUAAACCAUGCACCGAAGCUGCGGCAGCGACACUAUGUGUUGUUGGGUAGGGGAGCGUUCUGUAAGCC
rnacentral:rRNA from 1 species